rnacentral:misc_RNA from 1 species
GAUGAAGAACGCAGCGAAAUGCGAUACGUAAUGUGAAUUGCAGAAUUCAGUGAAUCAUCGAAUCUUUGAACGCAUAUUGCGCUCUUUGGUAUUCCGAAGAGCAUGCUUGUUUGAGUAUCAGUAAACACCUCAAAGCUUUUGGAUUUUUUAAUCGAAAAGCUUUGGACUUGAGCAAUCCCAACACCAAUCUUUUUGAGAUCGGUGGCGGGUUGCUUGAAAUGCAGGUGCAGCUGGACAUUCUCCUGAGCUAAAAGCAUAUUCAUUUAGUCCCGUCAAACGGAUUAUUACUUUUGCUGCAGCUAACAUAAAGGGAGUUUGACCGUAUUGGCUGACUGAUGCAGGAUUUCACAAGGGUCGGCAACGAUUCUUGUUAAACUCGAUCUCAAAUCAAGUAAGACUACCCGCUGAACUUAAGCAUAUCAAUAAGCGAGGA